UCCGUAGGGUGCGAGCGUUGUCCGGAAUUACUGGGCGUAAAGAGCUCGUAGGUGGUUUGUCGCGUUGUUCGUGAAAUCUCACGGCUUAACUGUGAGCGUGCGGGCGAUACGGGCAGACUUGAGUACUGCAGGGGAGACUGGAAUUCCUGGUGUAGCGGUGGAAUGCGCAGAUAUCAGGAGGAACACCGGUGGCGAAGGCGGGUCUCUGGGCAGUAACUGACGCUGAGGAGCGAAAGCGUGGGGAGCGAACAGG
rnacentral:rRNA from 1 species